rnacentral:rRNA from 1 species
AGCAGCCGCGGUAAUUCCAGCUCCAAUAGCGUAUAUUAAAGUUGUUGCAGUUAAAAAAGCUCGUAGUUGAAUUUCGGGAUCAAUUUAUUGGUCGUGCUAUUGUACGUACUGGUAUUAUUGAUUCCUACCUUCUGACGAACCAUGAUGUCAUUAAUUUGGUGUCAUGGGGAAUCAGGACUGUUACUUUGAAAAAAUUAGAGUGUUUAAAGCAGGCUCACGCUUGAAUACAUUAGCAUGGAAUAACGAAAUAGGACGUUUGAUUCUAUUUUGUUGGUUUCUAGGAUCGACGUAAUGAUUAAUAGGGAUAGUUGGGGGCAUUAGUAUUCAAUUGUCAGAGGUGAAAUUCUUGGAUUUAUUGAAGACUUAACUACUGCGAAAGCAUUUGCCAAGGAUGUUUUCAUUAAUCAAGAACGAAAGUUAGGGGAUCGAAGACGAUCAGAUACCGUCGUAGUCUUAACCAUAAACUAUGCCGACUAGGGAAUCGGAUGAUGUUAAUUUUUAAUGACUCAUUCGGCGUCCG